AGAAUCAACGCUGGCGGCGUGCCUAACACAUGCAAGUCGAACGAGAAAGUGGAGCAAUCCAUGAGUACAGUGGCGUACGGGUGAGUAACACGUGACUACCUACCCUCGAGUGGGGAAUAACCUCGGGAAACCGGGGCUAAUACCGCAUAACAUCUACGGAUCAAAUGCGUAAGCAGCUUGAGGAGGGGGUCGCGGCCGAUUAGCUAGUUGGUGAGGUAAUGGCUCACCAAGGCAAUGAUCGGUAGCCGGCCUGAGAGGGCGCACGGCCACACUGGAACUGAAACACGGUCCAGACUCCUACGGGAGGCAGCAGUGGGGAAUUUUGCGCAAUGGGGGAAACCCUGACGCAGCAACGCCGCGUGGAGGAUGAAGCCCCUUGGGGUGUAAACUCCUUUCGAUCGGGACGAUUAUGACGGUACCGGAUGAAGAAGCACCGGCUAACUCUGCGCCAGCAGCCGC
rnacentral:rRNA from 1 species